AUGGCAAGUCCCAAAGGAAGUCGAAGUCAGAAGAUGAAGCUUCCCAUCUUUACCCGAAAGGGGACACUGGAGGUGCCGUCCCCAACAGAGAAGGACUGGUCUAAGGACGAUGAAGAUGAUUGGGUCUUCAAGGAUCCAGAUCAAGAGCAAGAUUCCCUACCCCAGCCAUAUCGAAUGAUCAACAAGAUGGUGAACUCACUGUUUGACCGUGCGUGGGAAAUUAUUGAGGCAAGGGAUACCUCAAGCAAAGCUGAGCUCCACCGGAUCCAGCCCACCAUCUACCAUCCACUUAGAGAAAUUAAGCUCAGCACAACGCCAAACUGCAUGGAUGUUUCCCAAGACUAUGUGUUUAUUGGAGGAAGCAAAGGAUUCUCUAUCUAUAAUCUGCAAAAUGCUAAACAAUUAUAUGUUUGGGAGAAACUUAAGGUUGAUGUCAUUUCCAUCUUGGCCACAGAUUUGGGGAGUGAAAUACUUAUUGCUCCUGUGGAUGAAACGGGUAUCGUUCGACUGUUUUAUUUUUAUAAGGAUGGUCUUUACCUCAUCAAAGCCAUCAAUGAAUCGGAGGACGCCAGCAAGCAAACCACCUGUAUAAAGAUGGAAAUUUCUAAAGGAGGGAACUUUGCAGCCUUGCUCCUACAAGGAGCCGGGGACAUUUGGCUGGAUGUGUAUAAGCUGCCCAAGGAGUCUUGGAUCAAGGAAGUGCAGUACCCCCAACUUGCCGUAAAUACAAAGAAGAAAGUCAGACAGCAGCUGCAAUUGAACACUCCUGAUUCUGUGCCUGCAGAUAGUUUAGAUACGGAUAUGAACAUUUCUUUUAGAGGAGAUGUUAAGUUGAGUCUUCCAGUUCAAAUAAUGAAAAUCAAACCACCCAAACCGAUUACAGGUACCACAUUUAAGAGCCCCCUGGAAGCUUUUGCAAAGAUAGCGGGUUGCCGCGGGCUGGGCUCUGGGCAGAAUCACUAUAUCAAGGCGAGCCAGUGGGAGAAGCGGGAGGCAAUCUUAAAAGCCACCUACAAGAAGUACCUGGAUGGGGAAUGGGAGCCUGAACCUGUCAGUAUGGCUACGUUCUACUUCCUCCUUCCCAGUCGCGUAAUCCCAAUGCCCGCGGGAGUCAAGAGAUCCCCAGGGCUAGCCUGUGCCCUUGGUGUACACUGGACCGAUCAUCACAACUUCUUCUUCUAUUCACUUAACCGGACGCUGAAGGAUAAAGUUGACCCCGAGGGCGUGUGGCCGUGCGCCGCGCCCAUCGUGGUGUCUCAGCUCAGUCCCUGCUCUUCCUACCUGGUGCUGGCCUGCGAGGACGGCGUGCUCUCGCUCUGGGACCUGGCGCAAGGACUCACUCUUGGAGUUGUGGCUCUUCCUGAAAAUUGCUUCUGCCAAAGCAUCCACUUCCUGAAAUACUUCCUAGUCCACAAAGGACAGAAUGUGUAUCCCGAGGGCUCAGUGAAAUGCCACAUGAAAUGCGUGGUGCUGUGUACAGACGCGUCUCUCCAUCUGGUGACAGCUUCCGCGAUCCAGAACUCCACCAUCAGUCUCCUGGUGGAGAGGCCGGUGAAGUACCUGGAUGAAGCCAUCUGUGCUGUGGCCCCGGUCCAAGCCUUACCUGGCAUGGUGCUGACCUUUUCCAGAGACGGCUCUGUGCUCCUCAUGGACGUGGCCAAGCCGCAGAUCGUCUGCUCCUUUGCUCUCCCCAGAUCCUACCCCCUGGCGGCCCCCUGGAACCCAGUGCUUGUCAUGUCUUUACACCACCCGGGUUUCCUGCUCCGAGGAGACCAUCCAGAUGAAAUUGGAUCUGCCAGCAAAGCUGAAGACACCCCAAAUUCUAUUUUCUAUUUUAAUUUUGAGGACUACCCACUCCUAGAAAACUUGUCAAGAAACUGCACCAUUCCUCAAGCUAGCAUAUUGGACCACCCGACAUUUGCCCGGGCACUGCCCCUGGAGGAGAGAUGCGAGAAAUUCUUCCAAAAGAGGUAAAGUUCUGGGUCUCUGCACCGGGGGUGGUCUCUGGACCAUGGAAUAAGUAGUUUGCUUGAUCAUAAGAUCCUUUUUGGCAUUUAAACCCCACUGAGGUUGGAAGAAAAGGAAUAAUGAAUUCAGGCUGGUAGAAAAGAAAGGCUUCAAGCUGGUGUUUUCUUCCUGUCAAGGCUGUGUUUUUCUUGUUGCUUUUUCAAUUCUUUUUUUUUUUUUUUAAAGUCAAUUUGGAUUAUCAGACAUGAUCGUCUAAGACAGGGGUUGGCAAAUGACAGCCAGAUUUGGCCCACUGCCUGUUUUUGUGACUAGAAUUUCACUGGAAAACACCACGCCCACUGCUUUAUGUCUCAUCUGCUUAUAUAAGAGUUACAGAGGAGCUGAGCAGCUGCAGCAGAGACGCUAUGACCCACAAAGCCUAAAUCACUUCCUAGCUGGCCUUGUUGAGAUGUUUGCCAGCCCCUUGUCUGAGCCCCCUUUCCUUUCUCCAUCAUCCAUAGAAACCAUUACGUGACACACCUCUCCUCUUUCCCCAUUUGUAACCCCCAGCUCCAAGGGGACUCUGCUUGUGUUCCUUCCUGCUAUAAAAGCAUCACUAAUGGUACGCAGUCCAUUCUGAGAAAGCAGGGGUCUCUCUUUUUUUAAAAAUUUCAUUUAUUUACUUAUUUAUUUCUGGCUGCUCUGGGUCUUCCUUGCUGCACACGGGACUUUCUCUAGUUGCGGUGUGAGGGCUUCUCAUUGCCGUGGCUUCUCUCGUGGUGGAGCACGGGCUCUAAGCGCAUGGGCUUCGGUAGUUGCAGUCCCGGGCUCUAGAGUGAGUGCUCAGUAGUUGAAGCCCGCGGGCUUAGUUGCUCUGAGGCAUGUGGAAUCUCCCCUGACCAGGGAUCAAAUCUGUGUCCCCUGCAUUGGCAGGCAGAUUCUUAACCACUGGAUCACUGGACAAGUCCAGCUGGGGUCUCUUCUAAUCCAUCCACAACAUUAUAUUGGAUAAUGAAGGAUGUGUGAUAUUUUUUCUUUGUAUUUUUCCUAUUUGCAACUUUUCUACCCAACAUAUGGAUGUUUUGGAAAAUUUCAAACAAUGGCUUUAAAAAGAAAGUCGAGAGAAUGAGGUUGGGUCAUGGCUGUAGUGGGGCCAUUUUCCUAGAUUGAGGGAGAUUCCUGGUGCUCUUGCUUGAUAAGGCUUCCUGGUGCUCUUGCUUGAUAAGGCUCCCCUUUCUGUCCUCUCUGUCUAACCCCCUCCUUUCACUGGCCCAGGAAGAGUGAGCCUUCCCACUUCACCCAAAAUCCAACUGACUGCCCUCCCCGUGGGAAGGGACCAGAGGCCAGUGGCUCCAGCUCCGGGCAGCUCACCUCCUGCCUGGCAGCCGAGGACCUGAGCAACUCAUGAUGCCUUAGCCCCUGACCAUUUCCUCCCUCAGUCAGGGCGCAGGUGGACAUUACCACUCAGACAUCUGCUUAACUAACCCUGCUUAGCCUGAUAAGUUUGCUCCUCAUGUAGCGCUACUACCAUAACAGAGUAAUUACCCACUGAAAAAAUGUUACUCAUUAUUUCUCAGUUUUAUGUUAUUGUUCAGCUGCUCAGUUGUGUCUGACUCUGCAACCCCAUGGACUGCAGCACACCAGCCUUCCCUGUCUUUCACCAUCUCCCAGAGUUUGCUCAAACACAUGUCCGUUGAGUCAGUGAUGCCAUCCGGCCAUCUCAUCCUCUGUUGCCCUCUUCACCUUCUGGCCUCAAUCUUCCCCAGCAUCAGAUUGUUUUCCAGUGAGUCAGCUUUUUGCAUCAUGUGGCCAAAGUAUUGAAGCUUCAGCUUCAGCAUCAAUCCUUCCAAUGAAUAUUCAGGGCUGAUUUCCUUUAGAAUUGGCUGGUUGGAUCUCCUUGCUGUCCAAGGGGCUCUGCAGAGUCUUCUCCAACACCACAGGUCAGAAGCAUCAAUUCUUCAGUGCUCAGCCUUCUACGCUUUAUAUAUAUAUAUAUAUGCACUUAUAGAAAUUUGGGAAACAGGACAAUAAAUGGACUUAAUUCUUAAUAAAUGGACUUAAU
rnacentral:lncRNA from 1 species